rnacentral:lncRNA from 1 species
UGGCCCCCAGCGCGGCAGGCUGCUGGUGAGGCGGGGAUCUGGCAGUGUGCCCUCGGCGCAACGCCUCCUAGCCGAGGCGUGGGUGUGGCCGGCCUCGGGUUGCCGGCGCUAGCGGUGACGUGCAAGCCAUCGGCUCAGGUCCCUUGGCGCGGCAGGCCACCAGCGCAGAUCCCUGCAACCGGCGAGCUAGCAAGGUAGCGGGCUCCAGGCAAUGCGGCAUCCAGACGCGGCGCCGGCUCCUCUGCAUGGAUUAGUGCCAAUGUGCAAGCUCUUAUUAGCUUGUAGUGUUUAUCCUCUUGUCAUAGCAGCAAAAGAAUAGGUAGACACUAUCAUACUCCUGAACAUAAAGCAAAAGGGCCUUGUGUUCGAUCCCCAAACUAUGCUCAUUCGUGAGUGCCGCCACCCAGAUUACUAUAUGUGGUGCUAUGUCAAUUUGCAUUGCUUCAAUUUCAGUACUACUUAUUCCAAUAGAAAUUUACCAUGUAUUUUCAGGAAUCAUCAUGAAGAACUGAUCCCAAAAAAGUAAAGGCUAAGGAAUAAAAAAAAGGUAUGUAAUUUCAGCAAUAACUUUCAUGUAAUCUGGGAUCAGUUAUUUCUAAUCUUUUGAAUUUAGCUAAACUUCUAUGUGAAUCUGAAUGGGUUAAUUUAAUUUAAUUUUAGUUCCAGUUUCAUGUGUA